GUGCUUUCACAGUGGGUUAGCCGUCAGAUUUGUAAGUUUUUUCAGAAAGGAAACUGUAAGUACGGCUCAGGUUGUAAAUUUACUCAUUCAAUGAGUGGGGAUGGUGCAGAAGCAGAACCUAUGCGUCAGGAUACAACUUGGGGUAAGAAAAGACACGCAGCCAAGUCAAGCUCUAGGCCAUGGAAGAGGG